GGUUAAGCGACUAAGCGUACACGGUGGAUGCCCUGGCAGUCAGAGGCGAUGAAGGACGUGCUAAUCUGCGAUAAGCGUCGGUAAGGUGAUAUGAACCGUUAUAACCGGCGAUUUCCGAAUGGGGAAACCCAGUGUGUUUCGACACACUAUCAUUAACUGAAUCCAUAGGUUAAUGAGGCGAACCGGGGGAACUGAAACAUCUAAGUACCCCGAGGAAAAGAAAUCAACCGAGAUUCCCCCAGUAGCGGCGAGCGAACGGGGAGCAGCCCAGAGCCUGAAUCAGUGUGUGUGUUAGUGGAAGCGUCUGGAAAGGCGCGCGAUACAGGGUGACAGCCCCGUACACAAAAAUGCACAUGCUGUGAGCUCGAUGAGUAGGGCGGGACACGUGGUAUCCUGUCUGAAUAUGGGGGGACCAUCCUCCAAGGCUAAAUACUCCUGACUGACCGAUAGUGAACCAGUACCGUGAGGGAAAGGCGAAAAGAACCCCGGCGAGGGGAGUGAAAAAGAACCUGAAACCGUGUACGUACAAGCAGUGGGAGCACGCUUCGGCGUGUGACUGCGUACCUUUUGUAUAAUGGGUCAGCGACUUAUAUUCUGUAGCAAGGUUAACCGAAUAGGGGAGCCGAAGGGAAACCGAGUCUUAACUGGGCGUUAAGUUGCAGGGUAUAGACCCGAAACCCGGUGAUCUAGCCAUGGGCAGGUUGAAGGUUGGGUAACACUAACUGGAGGACCGAACCGACUAAUGUUGAAAAAUUAGCGGAUGACUUGUGGCUGGGGGUGAAAGGCCAAUCAAACCGGGAGAUAGCUGGUUCUCCCCGAAAGCUAUUUAGGUAGCGCCUCGUGAAUUCAUCUCCGGGGGUAGAGCACUGUUUCGGCAAGGGGGUCAUCCCGACUUACCAACCCGAUGCAAACUGCGAAUACCGGAGAAUGUUAUCACGGGAGACACACGGCGGGUGCUAACGUCCGUCGUGAAGAGGGAAACAACCCAGACCGCCAGCUAAGGUCCCAAAGUCAUGGUUAAGUGGGAAACGAUGUGGGAAGGCCCAGACAGCCAGGAUGUUGGCUUAGAAGCAGCCAUCAUUUAAAGAAAGCGUAAUAGCUCACUGGUCGAGUCGGCCUGCGCGGAAGAUGUAACGGGGCUAAACCAUGCACCGAAGCUGCGGCAGCGACGCUUAUGCGUUGUUGGGUAGGGGAGCGUUCUGUAAGCCUGUGAAGGUGUGCUGUGAGGCAUGCUGGAGGUAUCAGAAGUGCGAAUGCUGACAUAAGUAACGAUAAAGCGGGUGAAAAGCCCGCUCGCCGGAAGACCAAGGGUUCCUGUCCAACGUUAAUCGGGGCAGGGUGAGUCGACCCCUAAGGCGAGGCCGAAAGGCGUAGUCGAUGGGAAACAGGUUAAUAUUCCUGUACUUGGUGUUACUGCGAAGGGGGGACGGAGAAGGCUAUGUUGGCCGGGCGACGGUUGUCCCGGUUUAAGCGUGUAGGCUGGUUUUCCAGGCAAAUCCGGAAAAUCAAGGCUGAGGCGUGAUGACGAAGCACUACGGUGCUGAAGCAACAAAUGCCCUGCUUCCAGGAAAAGCCUCUAAGCAUCAGGUAACAUCAAAUCGUACCCCAAACCGACACAGGUGGUCAGGUAGAGAAUACCAAGGCGCUUGAGAGAACUCGGGUGAAGGAACUAGGCAAAAUGGUGCCGUAACUUCGGGAGAAGGCACGCUGAUAUGUAGGUGAAGUCCCUUGCGGAUGGAGCUGAAAUCAGUCGAAGAUACCAGCUGGCUGCAACUGUUUAUUAAAAACACAGCACUGUGCAAACACGAAAGUGGACGUAUACGGUGUGACGCCUGCCCGGUGCCGGAAGGUUAAUUGAUGGGGUCAGCGCAAGCGAAGCUCUUGAUCGAAGCCCCGGUAAACGGCGGCCGUAACUAUAACGGUCCUAAGGUAGCGAAAUUCCUUGUCGGGUAAGUUCCGACCUGCACGAAUGGCGUAAUGAUGGCCAGGCUGUCUCCACCCGAGACUCAGUGAAAUUGAACUCGCUGUGAAGAUGCAGUGUACCCGCGGCAAGACGGAAAGACCCCGUGAACCUUUACUAUAGCUUGACACUGAACAUUGAGCCUUGAUGUGUAGGAUAGGUGGGAGGCUUUGAAGUGUGGACGCCAGUCUGCAUGGAGCCGACCUUGAAAUACCACCCUUUAAUGUUUGAUGUUCUAACGUUGACCCGUAAUCCGGGUUGCGGACAGUGUCUGGUGGGUAGUUUGACUGGGGCGGUCUCCUCCUAAAGAGUAACGGAGGAGCACGAAGGUUGGCUAAUCCUGGUCGGACAUCAGGAGGUUAGUGCAAUGGCAUAAGCCAGCUUGACUGCGAGCGUGACGGCGCGAGCAGGUGCGAAAGCAGGUCAUAGUGAUCCGGUGGUUCUGAAUGGAAGGGCCAUCGCUCAACGGAUAAAAGGUACUCCGGGGAUAACAGGCUGAUACCGCCCAAGAGUUCAUAUCGACGGCGGUGUUUGGCACCUCGAUGUCGGCUCAUCACAUCCUGGGGCUGAAGUAGGUCCCAAGGGUAUGGCUGUUCGCCAUUUAAAGUGGUACGCGAGCUGGGUUUAGAACGUCGUGAGACAGUUCGGUCCCUAUCUGCCGUGGGCGCUGGAGAACUGAGGGGGGCUGCUCCUAGUACGAGAGGACCGGAGUGGACGCAUCACUGGUGUUCGGGUUGUCAUGCCAAUGGCACUGCCCGGUAGCUAAAUGCGGAAGAGAUAAGUGCUGAAAGCAUCUAAGCACGAAACUUGCCCCGAGAUGAGUUCUCCCUGACUCCUUGAGAGUCCUGAAGGAACGUUGAAGACGACGACGUUGAUAGGCCGGGUGUGUAAGCGCAGCGAUGCGUUGAGCUAACCGGUACUAAUGAACCGUGAGGCUUAACCUU
rnacentral:rRNA from 1 species